UUUCCUUUUAAAAGUUAAUCACCAUUCUCAUCUCUUUCCUCUCCUCUACAACUUUUGUUUUCUCUUGCCAGCUUUCCUUCACCGCCCUAACAACCUCGUUUUUACCUUAAUUUACCUUAAUUUCCUCCUCCUUCAUUCUCUAUAGCAUCACAAUCUAACAUCCCAUUUACUUCAUCAUCCUCCACUACAAAACCGAACUAGAGAAAAAAGAUACCACUUUCAUGGUGGUAGGUGGGUUUUUGGUAGAGGUUGGGUGGUUUUUAUGAGGGAGUUAGAGUAGGUUUUUGGUGGCUCUGUGAUUGUCGGAGUGGUGCCAGCCGGGACGGUGGUCAGAAUGGUGUUAGCCAACAAGUAGUUGGUGCGCGGAUACUGUGGACCUGUGGUGCAAUGAAUAGUCAAGGGUUGUCAAAGUGGUUGCUAAGGUUAGUUGGGUGAAGAGUAUUUUUGGGUAAGGAUGAUUCUUUGGGGGUGGUGCAAGGAAUAAUAUGGGUAAAGGGAAUUAAUGUACUUGAUUGUCUUUCCCUUUGACAAAAACCCAAUCCAAACGCCCCCUAAAGUGUUUAUUUCCCCUUUUCAUAUGUCCCAAUAUGGUUUUCCCAUUUCGAUCGACCCACUACUAAAAGUAUGUAUAGUUGCAGGACCACAUUUUGGUGGAAAUUGGUCUUUUGAGACCCGUUUCUCUUAUUCCUGGAUUACUACACGGAUCUCGAGCAUGUACAGGAUAUUCUAGCCAACUUCAAGGGGCCACAAACUGAAAUUUUGGCCCAAAGGAGUUAGGCUUGGGCCUCAAGAUUCGAAGCCUAUGGAGUACGAAAAGCUGCAAGUUUGCCCGUUGGAACAAGGACAUUCGCCUGACCAGGAGAGAAUUUAAGAGGAAUUUAACUUUAUAGACGCGCCCGACCAGGCGCAGGAAUCCGGUGGCACCGGCUAAUGUGCAUGAAGACCUUGGAGGAGUACGUACCACCGAAGCCCGACCAGGCAUCCAAACCCGGCCGUGCGUCGUCGAUUUCCUUGUUCUUAGAUGGUUUUCGUUUUACUCUUUUAGGGAAAGCUUAUAAAUACUAUACUUUGUUUUUAGGAAGAACUCUCUUAGUUUUGAUCUUAGUUUUUAUAGUGGAAAACUCCGUAGUUUUUAGUACCUUAGUUUUCUCUCAAAUUUAUGUUGAUUAUAUUCGUGAUUUCAAUUCAAUACUCAAACUUUAUUUCUUCA